GCUUAACACAUGCAAGUCGAACGGCAGCACGGUAAGAGCUUGCUCUUAUGGGUGGCGAGUGGCGGACGGGUGAGGAAUACAUCGGAAUCUACCUUUUGGUGGGGGAUAACGUAGGGAAACUUACGCUAAUACCGCAUACGCCCUUCGGGGGAAAGCCGGGGACCAGCAAUGGCCUGGCGCUGAUAGAUGAGCCGAUGUCGGAUUAGCUAGUUGGUGAGGUAAUGGCUCACCAAGGCGACGAUCCGUAGCUGGUCUGAGAGGAUGAUCAGCCACACUGGAACUGAGACACGGUCCAGACUCCUACGGGAGGCAGCAGUGGGGAAUAUUGGACAAUGGGCGCAAGCCUGAUCCAGCCAUACCGCGUGGGUGAAGAAGGCCUUCGGGUUGUAAAGCCCUUUUGUUGGGAAAGAAAAGCAUUCGGUUAAUACCCGGGUGUUCUGACGGUACCCAAAGAAUAAGCACCGGCUAACUUCGUGCCAGCAGCCGCGGUAAUAC
rnacentral:rRNA from 1 species